UCUCAAUUUUAAAAUGCAAACACUUCCUGUUUCAAGAGGAGUCAAUUAUAAAAGAUGACAACUGGGAAGACAAUUGACAGAGCCUUCUAAUUUAACAACAGCAACAGAUUGUAAGGCAUAAAAAAGGUGUACAUUUUAGCUUUAUAAAAAUAAAAAUUUAGACAAGGUCUAGAGAGCUAAAUAGAUGGGACCUACUUUACACUCUUGGUUAAGUAUAAUCAUAUCUUUGGACUAUUUUAAGGUGGAUCACAAAAAGGGUAAUCUAGAAAAAAUAUCAUUCAGACAAAAAAAAAAACACUUUGUUUUAAGUGUAAUCGGUUUCUGCAGUUUAACCUAAGAAUACAAAAAGUUCUGUCAAUGUUUGGGUGAA